UUGUGUUGGGAUGGAUUUAUGUUUGGUUCCGUAUUAGUUCGGUUUAAAAAUCAAUUUAUGUAACAACGGAGGCGAAUGAAUGACUCGCCGUGUUUGGGGGAAUGAAUGACUCGCCGUGUCCCAUCGUGAUGCUUGAAUCGUCUCUGUGACAUGAAGCAAGGCGAUUUGAAUUUGGAGUCCACUCAAUCGGAAGAGAUUGAAUCAAUUGGAAUCAGUGGAGCUAGGAUCAAAGUUGUUGAUCCUUUUCCAGGUUGUAGCGAAAGGGUCAUAACUGCAGAAUUGCCGCUAAAGUCCAUGAUUCUCAGAUGUUCCAUGUUGAUGAAUGAUAUCGCAGAGAUUUGAAGACCACAACUGCAUAAUUGCCGCUAAAGCUUUAGGAUAUUGUAUCCAAUGGAAAAAAAGUUGAAGAUUUCGAGAAGAGCAUGAAAAGGGGCAAUGACAAGUAGCUAAAAGAAAGAACUUGAGCUCUUGCAAAAGGUAUGCUUAUGAAUUGUUAACCAUUAUGUCUUGUCCUGUGAUUGUUAUUGGCAACUAAUUACUGGUUGGUUAGUGGGAUAAAAUGUGAGAAGGAACUGAUGUCCAUUUUGGGGACUAGAAACAAGCUGAAAUCAAGAUUUUAAACACUCUCCAAGUGCUCUUCGCAAA